rnacentral:rRNA from 1 species
UGCGUAACAUGUGGGAAUCUGCCUUUUGGUUCGGAACAACACGGGGAAACUUGUGCUAAUACCGAAUAAGUCCUAACGGAGAAAGAUUUAUCGCCGAAAGAUGAGCCCGCACUAGAUUAGCUUGUUGGUAAGGUAAAAGCUUACCAAGGCUACGAUCUAUAGCUGAUUUGAGAGGAUGAUCAGCCACACUGGGACUGAGACACGGCCCAGACUCCUACGGGAGGCAGCAGUGGGGAAUCUUGCACAAUGGAGGAAACUCUGAUGCAGCGAUGCCGCGUGAGUGAAGAAGGCCCUUGGGUUGUAAAGCUCUUUUGUCGGGAAAGAUAAUGACUGUACCCGAAGAAUAAGGUCCGGCUAACUUCGUGCCAGCAGCCGCGGUAAUACGAAGGGACCUAGCGUAAUUCGGAAUUACUGGGCGUAAAGCGCGCGUAGGCGGUUAAGUAAGUUAAUUGUGAAAGCCCAAAGCUCAACUUUGGAAUUGCAAUUAAAACUACUUAGCUAGAGUUUAUCAGAGGAAAGCGGAAUACAUAGUGUAGAGGUGAAAUUCGUAGAUAUUAUGUAGAACACCAGUUUCGAAGGCGGCUUUCUGGGAUAAUACUGACCCUGAGGUGCGAAAGUUAUGGGUAGCGAAGAGGAUUAGAUACCUCCGUAGUCCAUACCGUUAAACGAAUGAAUUGUUAGAUGUUGGGAAAUUUAUUUC